UCCCCUGAGGGGAAUAUCUUAACAGUGCUCACACAUCAAGUCUCCCAUUCAUAUGCAACCAGGACAGACCAUGCUUAGCUGUGAGGACAAGUCAUGCUUGCUACCACAAGACCAGCUGUCCUUGUAGACCAGGUUUAUGUGUCUGAUGUACAACUUUGCUAGUGGUUGGUUGGUGGGUUGGGUAUUUUUCUAUCUCCCCUUAAUGAUACUAGUUGGAAAGAAAGUCACUUCUGCUGUAUUAGAUUGACUGGCCUGGAUCAUGUGACAUUCUUUCUUUCAUGACAGGCUAGAACUACUGAUGGAUGGGCUAACAGUCCAAAUUCCAAAACAGCCAUCCCAGUUCCUAGAGGAAAGGACUCUCUCUCCCUCUCGUUUUAUUGAAUGAAAUGGCUUAACUUCCCGAAAGACUUACCUGGAGUCUGUGAUGAGCCGGAUGAGGGAGAACAAACUGAGGCUGAAUCCAAGGAAGACAGAGCAUCUUUCACCAACUACAAAUGAAAAGAUUCCUAAGUUAAUGCAAACACUACACUGUGCUGCCAAUAGAGUGCAGCCCGUCAAGCUCGUCACUCCCACCCCAAUAUCUCAACUGCCUAAAAUCACAAAAAAUCUUAGUCAUCAGCUCUGAUUCCAAAAAAGGUGAUUUUGGUAUUUGCAGACCCUAAGCCUGCACAGUGACAAAGCGGGGAACAUGAUGCUCCCAACAUAGACUCGAGAGACCGCUCCAUUCCCAACAAGAGAGACACCAGAGAAGUCACACCAAGAUCACCCUCCAAUCCUGAACGUGACUCCAACCCAGCUCAAAUGGAGGAUUAUACCAUCAACCCUAGCUGGUCUUCUCAACACCGACUGAAAAGCAUGCCCUGCACGAUACCAACUAUAUAGAAGAGACCCUACGUGAUACCAACGCUCUCCGGGUCACAGGGAAUCCCCUCACCAUCUGUACUCUCCUAAAUGCUAUUCCAUAGGAUCCGGUGUAUUGCUACUGAGAACUUCGACACUGAGACUACGUUCCAUCUGAUCAUGCCUGAUCGUUCCACUUACAUCUUCGAUGACAGAUCUGUCACUGAUGAUAGAGAACGCUAUCUCCACCCUUGCUCUUGGGCUCCACAUCGAAACCAAUAUCCGGGGAGAUUGCACCAUCCAGACUCUCGGUCCUGAUCAUACUCUCCUCAGCACUGCAGGUCUUGGUCUCAGUCAAGAGAUAAGAGAAGUCAACCACCUAAGCAGCUGGACUUUGACCUCCUACCACCGGAUUCCUCGACUGAAGAAUCCGCCUCAGAGGAAGAUGCAGAAACAGCCCUGGACAUCGCAUGGGGUUCCACACCUUCAGAUCUAAUUGAAGAUCCAAAGCCUCUGCCUCCCUCGGAGUACCUGAAGCUCUUCACUGACCAA